rnacentral:rRNA from 1 species
AAUAUUGGACAAUGGGGGCAACCCUGAUCCAGCCAUGCCGCGUGUGUGAAGAAGGUCUUCGGAUUGUAAAGCACUUUAAGUUGGGAGGAAGGGCUUUAGGCUAAUACCCUGAAGUUUUGACGUUACCAACAGAAUAAGCACCGGCUAACUCUGUGCCAGCAGCCGCGGUAAUACAGAGGGUGCAAGCGUUAAUCGGAAUUACUGGGCGUAAAGCGGGAGUAAGGUGUUAAGGAAGAUGGGGGUGAAAUCCCCGGGCUUAACCUGGGAAAUGCUUUCCUAACUGCUGAGGUAGAGUACGGUAGAGGGUAAUGGAAUUUCCUGUGUAGCGGUGAAAUGCGUAGAUAUAGGAAGGAACACCAGUGGCGAAGGCGACUACCUGGAAUGAUACUGACACUGAGGUGCGAAAGCGUGGGGAGCAAACA